rnacentral:lncRNA from 1 species
GCUCUCGUGCAUCCCUUACAAACUUUGCAAACUGUUCAGAGAUCCCUUCUACCUCAAGCUAGAUAUUAUGUUCAUGAUCAGAAUUACUUUCAGAUGCAGCAAUAUUCACCUGUACAUUCGAACAAGCACCUUGAUGUAAAUCAUGUAACAAUUCUACUAUACCCAUAUAUUCGACAGGUCCAUCAGCAUCACUAUCAUCUUCAGUAUCGUCAUCGUCGCGCACCACC